UUCUAUCAUUCUAAUCUGGGAAAGGCAGACAACAUGUGUGCGGAGUGCCCUAAUCCUUUCAACAUCUAUUUCCUCUCGUUUAAGUCGUCUCUGCCUCUCACAUUGUAUCGAUCGGAAGCCGACGAACUAUCGAAGAUUAUCGUGCGCCGGCUAGUGAAGGAUAAGCUAUCACAGCAGACACAGCUCUCUAAGGAUUCCAAAGUCACCGUUCUCUGGGAGUCUCUUUAAGGCUUCUGCGAAAACGCACGAAUUUUUAUCCAUUUCAUCUCCGUUACGUAAGCAAACUUAUAAUCAUUUCCAUUACAUAUUUUUUGAUUUUUGAUGAGUAAUUAUUUUGUUUUUAAUCAUUUCCAUUACAUAUUUUUUGAUUUUUGAUGAGUAAUUAUUUUGUUUUUGUUUUUUUAAUAAAUUUUAGUAGGAUUAACUAGAGCUAUAGAAUGCUUGGAAUUAAUUAAUUUUUGGAUUUAGUUUCUGGAAGUUAUUUUUUCUCUGCAAUAGAUUUCCUAUUGAAGAUGGAGAAUCUACACGUUUGAUAUAUAGUUCUAAUUCAUUUCUUAAUCAAAUGCUUGAUCUGCUAGCUCAAUGCGGCUACAGACACUUGUGGGCUGGCUAUUCUGAGAUUGCAUAGGCCACUAACAAUUGGUGAAAACUGAUAAAAAUGUUAUGUAAAUAGAUCAAUAUUGAUUCUCGUAACUUUUAAAACUUUCUGUCUCUUCAAUUGCUUAUUAUGCUGGUGGUUGAUCUGGUGCUAAUGUUCAAAUGGUUGUAGGAGCUCUCAGAGUGUCCUUAGGUGCCUUGUGGAAUAUAUGACAAUCUGAUCAAUGUCAAGAAAUUUUACUGCUUAGUUAUUGUUCAAUUAUAGUGACAUUUGCAUGAAACUGCAGCUGAUCCACAUAAUUUAUCAUGUACAACUUUGAAUCUUUUCAAAGUUGGAAAGCUAUCUUAUUGGGGCGAGAGAGGAUGGUUUUAAGUAGUAAAACAUUCGUAUUCUUUAAAUUUUGAUUGCCAGAUUAGAUUUCUUCUUUGUCGCGCAUUAAUCCUCAUGGACCUUGUCAUGGAAAGUUCUCUUUCACCUAUUUAGUGUUACCUAAUAAGUAUUCUUUAUUGUUUGACAUUCAAGGAGAUUAACAGUGAGAUGCUAGCAAGAAAGGACAAGUUGAGCGGUCUUACGACCACUCAUGACAUUUCUAAUAAAUUUAGCAUAUUACUUAAAGCAUAGCUAGAUAAAGAAUUCAUUAAUAUUCCUAUAUAAUUGGUGCAAGUGAAAAGCAACUAAGUGAGUUGAAGCUGAAUAGAGACAAAGCCUAAUAUUACUCUUUUAUUCUCCUAACAUAUGCUAUUUCUUUAAUUUUACAUUUAUUUCCAUUGGGUAUACGUUCCAAAAUAUCUACAAUUCUCAUCCAUGUUUUCUCUAUCAAAAUUUACCCAUCAUAAACAAAUAAAUUUAUACUUUUGGCUAUUAUCCCUGUAUUUUUGUCCAUGAAUUGAAUAGCUGCACAUUCAUAUCCCAUUUUCAAGCUCUUUGAUUAGGACAUUAUUACUUAGGGUUCUCAACUUGGAGAAUGAGCAGCAAGGGGCAUGGUCUGUGAAGUGAUAGUUUCUUGAUUUUCUUUCUAGUUGACAAGUUUUGUAUGUCGUAUUUUUACUUAUUAUUUACUGAACAAGAUUAUUAAGAAGUUAAGAACUUGUAAGAACAUGACAGAAACUGGAAAAUUAAUGUCUUUUGUUAUUUGCACAGAUGUCUGGCCCAAGUAGUGCUGGAAGUAUUGGAUUAGGACCAAUAUGCGAGGAAGAUAGCACGACCGAUGUACCGGAGAGCAAUGUCCCGCAAGAAGAUCCAGUUGAACUGUUACCAAAUGCGGAUGAAAGGACAAUAAAUUAAGUGACGAGGAGCAUGAUAUUGGAGAAUAUCAUUUGGAAAGAGGAAAUUGACUUCAACUGUGUGGGAGCACUACAAAAGACAGAAAAUUGGUGAGAAAUGGAAGAUUAUAUGCAAUCAUUGCAACAAACAGUUAGGGGGUGAAACAAAAAAUGGUACAAAGCAUUUGCAUGAUCAUUUGAAGAGAUGUGUAUUCUAUUAUAAGGAUAAUACUCACCAAGCAACAUUAAAUUUCAAAAAGGAUGCCAUGAGUGUCAAGGUCACAAUGGGUACUUACUCUUUCGAUCCAAAUAAGUGUAGAUAUAGUCUUUCGAAAAUGGUGAUUUUGCAUGAGUAUUCUUUGUCUAUGUUUGAUCACAUUGGAUUUCGAGAGUUCUUGCAUGACCUACAACCAUUGUUUAAGGUUCCUUCCCGCAACACUUUAAAAAGCGACAUUUUGAAAAUCUAUGAAUACGAGAGAGUCAAAAAUAUGAUUGCACUUGAGAAGAUUGAGAGUCAAAUUUCGAUCACUACCGACAUGUGGACCUCUUCUAACCAAAAGAAAGGAUUCGUGGUUAUCACUGCUCAUUUCAUAGAUGAUGCAUGGAAACUACAUAGUCGAAUCAUGAAGUAUAGUAAAACAUUACAUUCACUUGUCCUCAUAAUCAUGAUAUUCUUUUAGUUGAUUUAAUUAGUUCUUGAAUGAACUCAGGUUUAUAUAUGUGCCGUGCACACACAUUGUUGAAGUGCUUUCAGAAACUCUAUUGAGCACCUUGAUGGACUGGAAUAUUAAUCGUAAAUUACUAACUUUGACCGUAGAUAAUUGCACCACAAAUGAUGCAAUGAUCAGUAUUGUGUUAAGUCAACUUUUUACUCGUUCUCUUGUACUGAAUGGUGAAUUUUUUCAUAUGAGGUGUUGUGCAUAUAUAUUAAAUCUUAUUGUGAAGGAUGAGUUGGACAUUAUUAGUAGUAGUGUUGAGAAAAUUUGUGAUAGUGUUGUUUAUUGGACAGCCACACCAAAGAGAUCUGAAAAAUUUGAGCUCUUUGCACGUCAAUUGAAAAUUGAUUCUAAGAAAAAAUUGGUGCUUGAUUGUAAAACAAGGUGGAAUUCGACGUAUUUGAUGCUUAGUACUGCUUUGAUUUAUAAGGAUUUUUUUUUGCGUUUGAAGCAGAGGAAGUCACGAUAUAAAUGUUUCCCUAGUGAUGGUGAUUG
rnacentral:lncRNA from 1 species